rnacentral:rRNA from 1 species
GACGAACGCUGGCGGCGUGCUUAACACAUGCAAGUCGAACGGAAAGGCCCUGCUUUUGUGGGGUGCUCGAGUGGCGAACGGGUGAGUAACACGUGAGUAACCUGCCCUUGACUUUGGGAUAACUUCAGGAAACUGGGGCUAAUACCGGAUAGGAGCUCCUGCUGCAUGGUGGGGGUUGGAAAGUUUCGGCGGUUGGGGAUGGACUCGCGUCUUAUCAGCUUGUUGGUGGGGUAGUGGCUUACCAAGGCUUUGACGGGUAGCCGGCCUGAGAGGGUGACCGGCCACAUUGGGACUGAGAUACGGCCCAGACUCCUACGGGGGGCAGCAGUGGGGAAUAUUGCACAAUGGGCGGAAGCCUGAUGCAGCAACGCCGCGUGCGGGAUGACGGCCUUCGGGUUGUAAACCGCUUUCGCCUGUGACGAAGCGUGAGUGACGGUAAUGGGUAAAGAAGCACCGGCUAACUACGUG